rnacentral:rRNA from 1 species
AGUGUAGGCGGGAUCGUAAGUUAGGAGUUUAAUGCAUGGGCUUAACCCAUGAUCUGCUUUUAAUACUGCGGUUCUUGAGUAUGGGAGAGGGCGAUGGAAUUCCAGGUGUAGCGGUGGAAUGCGUAGAUAUCUGGAAGAACACCAGUAGCGAAGGCGGUCGCCUGGCCCAAUACUGACGCUGAUGCUCGAAAGCUAGGGGAGCAAACAGGAUUAGAUACCCUGGUAGUCCUAGCCGUAAACGAUGGACACUAGUUGCUGGAGGAGUCAAUCCUUUCGGUGACGAAGCUAACGCAUUAAGUGUCCCGCCUGGGAAGUACGCUCGCAAGGGUGAA